rnacentral:rRNA from 1 species
UACGUAGGGCGCAAGCGUUGUCCGGAAUUAUUGGGCGUAAAGAGCUCGUAGGCGGCCUGUUGCGUCCGCUGUGAAAUCCCGGGGCUUAACCCCGGGCGUGCAGUGGAUACGGGCUGGCUAGAGGCAGGCAGGGGAGAACGGAAUUCCCGGUGUAGCGGUGAAAUGCGCAGAUAUCGGGAGGAACACCGGUGGCGAAGGCGGUUCUCUGGGCCUGUACUGACGCUGAGGAGCGAAAGCGUGGGGAGCGAACAGG